UACGUAGGGUGCGAGCGUUAAUCGGAAUUACUGGGCGUAAAGUGUGCGCAGGUGGCUUCGCAAGUCGAGUGUGAAAUCCCCGGGCUUAACCUGGGAAUUGCGCUCGAAACUACGUGGCUAGAGUGUGGCAGAGGGAGGUGGAAUUCCACGUGUAGCGGUGAAAUGCGUAGAGAUGUGGAGGAACACCAAUGGCGAAGGCAGCCUCCUGGGUCAACACUGACACUCAUGCACGAAAGCGUGGGGAGCAAACAGG
rnacentral:rRNA from 1 species